rnacentral:rRNA from 1 species
UACGUAGGGCGCAAGCGUUAUCCGGAAUUACUGGGCGUAAAGCGCACGUAGGCGGGUCGUUAAGUCAGGGGUGAAAUCCCGGAGCUCAACUCCGGAACUGCCUUUGAUACUGGCGAUCUCGAGAUCGGAAGAGGUGAGUGGAAUUCCCAGUGUAGAGGUGAAAUUCGUAGAUAUUGGGAAGAACACCGGUGGCGAAGGCGGCUCACUGGUCCGAUACUGACGCUGAGGUGCGAAAGCGUGGGGAGCAAACAGG